GGAAGGGUGUCCGAGCGGUUUAAGGAACUGGUCUUGAAAACCAGCGUGCCAGCAAUGGUACCGUGGGUUCGAAUCCCACCCCUUCCGCCA
rnacentral:tRNA from 1 species